AGUGAACGCUGGCGGUAGGCCUAACACUUGCAAGUCGAACGGCAGCACAGUAAGAGCUUGCUCUUACGGGUGGCGAGUGGCGGACGGGUGAGGAAUACAUCGGAAUCUACUUUUUCGUGGGGGAUAACGUAGGGAAACUUACGCUAAUACCGCAUACGACCUACGGGUGAAAGCAGGGGAUCUUCGGACCUUGCGCGAUUGAAUGAGCCGAUGUCGGAUUAGCUAGUUGGCGGGGUAAAGGCCCACCAAGGCGACGAUCCGUAGCUGGUCUGAGAGGAUGAUCAGCCACACUGGAACUGAGACACGGUCCAGACUCCUACGGGAGGCAGCAGUGGGGAAUAUUGGACAAUGGGCGCAAGCCUGAUCCAGCCAUACCGCGUGGGUGAAGAAGGCCUUCGGGUUGUAAAGCCCUUUUGCUGGGAAAGAAAAGCAGCAGGUUAAUACCCCGCUGUUCUGACGGUACCCAAAGAAUAAGCACCGGCUAACUUCGUG
rnacentral:rRNA from 1 species